AAUGAACGCUGGCGGCGUGCCUAACACAUGCAAGUCGAAUGUGCCGCAAGGUGCAUGGCAGACGGGUGAGUAACACGUGGGCAAUCUACCUUCUAGUGGGGAAUAACGCUCCGAAAGGAGUGGUAAUACCGCAUGAGACCCAUCGCUGGGAUGCGAGGGGUGAAACCUGGGGACCUUAGGGCCUGGGGCUAGAAGAGGAGCCUGCGCCUGAUUAGCUAGUUGGUGGGGUAACGGCCUACCAAGGCAACGAUCAGUAGCCGGCCUGAGAGGGUGAUCG
rnacentral:rRNA from 1 species